UGGGAAAAAAUCAUCAAUAUUGGUCAAGACACUUAGGAAAAAUCGUGCGUGACCGAAAUAUUUGUCCAAUGCAAGUGCUUUCAUGGAAGGAUAUACAAAACACAGAAAAGCAGCACAUGUGGGAAGCAGUAAAGGAAUGUUUUGAUAAUCCCAAUAUUGAAUUAUACCGUGAUGAUACCCUAGAGCAUUUGUGUACUUUGUGGACAAAUUGGAGGUCACUUUUGAAUGUAAAAUUUGUGAGGCCUUACAAAAGUAAGGUUGAGGUUUUAAAAAAUGUUCCAUCUGGAGUAAAUGUUGAAGAUUGGAAGUGGCUUGUCACUAACAAGUUUAUGACAGAAAAGUUUCAGAAAAUCAGUCAACAAAAUACUAAGAAUAGGUCUGCAUCGGAUAUGGGAAUGCCUCAUCGGAUAGGGAGUAGGCCACAUAGAGAAAUCAUAUAUGAAAAUGGAGGUAAAGAUUCAACACCACCUGACUUGGGAGUAAUUUUCUUAAAGACUAGAUGCAAAAAUGAAAAACUAGACGGGACAAGAGAAAAAGAAAAAUAUGAUGAAAUUGUGAAGACUAUUAUGUCCAAUCCAUCACUUUCAAACCUUGAGAUUGUUGAAAAACAUUUUGGACAGCAGCGCCACGGUCAUGUAUAUGGUUAUGGGGGUGGAGUAAAGCGAAAAAAUUUUAAUGAUUCUAAAUAUACUUAUAUCAAAGAGUUAGAGGCUAAGCUCCAUGAGAAGGAUGAAGAAAACCGUAACCUUAAGAGGCGCAUGGAUGUAUUUGAAAGUAGGUUGAUCCGAAUAGAGAAUGGAGAUUUACCAUCUCUUGGAACUACCACUAGUGAUGACAUUCAAGAGGAUGCUUAGAACCCAAGAUAUUAACAUUGUUUCUUUUGACUUUAGUAUUAAGGUAACUUCUACUGAUUAUUUUAGCUAACAAUGUGCUUUUGGAUGAUGUGACAAAGCUAUUGAUGAAAAAUGGCAUGCCGAACACCGCAUCGAAAGUAAAUAUUUUUGUGUAUGAAGUUGAUUGUACAUUUUUGCUUUGGGGUUAUUUUUGUCUAAACUAAAAAUGUUUAUUUGUACAGUCUCACCUUUCAAAAUAGCCAAUAGAUACAUUACUAUGGCUAUUUGUUAACUAUAAUUAGUUUCUUUGCGUUUAGUCUGUACAAAGUUCUGUGAAACAUUUCAUUUUGGUAGUGAUGAUGAAGUCUUUUAAUAUAUUGAUAAGUUUACUUUGA